rnacentral:tRNA from 1 species
CGGGCUGUCGUAUACCGGUAGUACAUAUGGUUUGGGACCAUACAGACUGGGUUCAAUUCCCAGCAGCCCGACCA